GGUGAACGCUGGCGGCGUGCUUAAGACAUGCAAGUCGAACGAACGUCUUCGGACGGUAGUGGCGCACGGGUGAGUACCGCGUAACUGACCUGCCCCCAAGUUCCGAAUAACCCUCCGAAAGGAAGGCCAAUACGGGAUGUGCUGUCCCCUCCUGUGUGGCCAGUAACGGCUUUCCCGCUUGGGGAUGGGGUUGCGUUGCACCAGCUAGUUGGUGGGGUAAAGGCCGACCAUGGCGACGAUGCAUAGCCGACCUGAGAGGGUGGCCGGACACAGUGGAAGUGAGACACGGGCCAGACGCCUACGGGAGGCAGCAGUAGGGAAGCUUCCGCAAUGGGCGAAAGCCGGAAGGAGCAACGCCGCGUGAGUGAGGAAGGUCUGCGGAUAGGAAAACUCUGUUAUUAGGGAAGAACAAAUGUGUAAGUAACUAUGCACGUCUUGACGGGACCUAAUCAGAAAGCCACGGCUAACUACGUG
rnacentral:rRNA from 1 species